GUCUCCAGUUCUACUUAACCUUAUAAAAUCACUUCAAAUAUCUUUAUAAUUUUUAUUACUGCACAUUUGAUUUGAAUGCAUUGCCAUCUAGGUCAGAGCAGGUGUUAGUUAGAUUAUGCGACAUACCUUGUCGGACUUGAAGUGGCCUGCAAUUGAUGACAUGGGCUAGAUCUACGCUCUUGUCACCUUAUCGGUAACCUCUAUUUAUCUUCCUUUUUAUUUCAAUUAGGUUAGUAUUCAAAUUCAGGUUAUGGCUUGAAGUUUCAUGAGCUUGUUGUGAUGAUUUGGCUGGUUUGUUUGAUAGUAGUCUUGAUAUGUUUUUCUUGAUUCAGGCUUUUCUUUCCGAGAUCCCAAUUUUAGAAAUCUCUUAGUACACACAGCUGCACCGUCUCACCCCAAAUCUCAAAUGGCUCCUUUUAUGUUCCAUCAGUACUGGGUGGUGGGGAGACCUCUCCCAACUAAGAAGGAUGAGCAUUCCAAAAUCUUCCGCAUGAAGCUGUGGCACACCAAUGAGGUACUUCUUGAGGAAGUUGAAGAAGGUGAAGAAGGGCAAUGAGAAAAUCUUGGCCAUCGGUAAGGUAUUUAUCUUGCAUUUUUGUCAACAUAACGUAUGCUCCUAAUG